CCUACGGGAGGCAGCAGUGGGGGAUAUUGCACAAUGGGGGAAACCCUGAUGCAGCGACGCCGCGUGAGUGAAGAAGUAUUUCGGUAUGUAAAGCUCUAUCAGCAGGGAAGAAAAUGACAGUACCUGACUAAGAAGCCCCGGCUAACUACGUGCCAGCAGCCGCGGUAAUACGUAGGGGGCAAGCGUUAUCCGGAUUUACUGGGUGUAAAGGGAGCGUAGACGGUCAUGUAAGUCAGGAGUGAAAGCCCGGGGCCCAACCCCGGGACUGCUUUGGAAACUGUGUGACUGGAGUGCAGGAGGGGCAGGCGGAAUUCCUAGUGUAGCGGUGAAAUGCGUAGAUAUGAGGAGGAACACCAGCGGCGAAGGCGGCCUACUGGACUGAAACUGACGUUGAGGCUCGAAAGCGUGGGGAGCAAACAGGAUUAGAUACCCGUGUAGUC
rnacentral:rRNA from 1 species